rnacentral:rRNA from 1 species
UAAAAGGGUCAAGCAGGCAGAUCCCAUUUUCUUNCCACCGAAUACAUUAGCAUGGGAUAAUGGAAUAGGACCCUGUCCUCCUAUUUUCAGUUGGUUUUGGCACGCGAGGACCAGGUAAUGAUUAAUAGGGAUAGUUGGGGGCAUUAAUAUUUAAUUGUCAGAGGUGAAAUUCUUGGAUUUAUGAAAGAUUAACUUCUGCGAAAGCAUCUGCCAAGGAUGUUUUCAUUAAUCAAGAACGAAAGUUAGGGGAUCGAAGACGAUCAGAUACCGUCGUAGUCUUAACCAUAAACGAUGCCGACCAGCGAUUAGGAGACGUUGAAUACAAAACACCACCAUCGGUGCGGUCGUCCUUGGCGCGUCGCGGCUUGCCGNGGCGUGCGAGGGCGGUUUAGCCUGAUGGCAUCGGUGAAUGACUCCCCUAGCAGC